CUCAAAUCGUGAGAAACUUAAAAAAGUGAAAAACUUAGAACACCACAUCUAGAGAGAGUUAAUUUCUGCAUUUUUAAAGAGAAAUUUAGGGUUACUCUUUUAAUUGCUAUAAUCUAGUGAAACCCCCUCUACAUGGCAUAACUUGAACGACAAAGAAAAACUUGAGUGAACGGCAGCACAAGGAAUGGACAAAAGAGAGAGUCGAAUAGCCAUUGAGAUUCAAACUACGAUUGCAAUGAGAGCCCCAACGACGACUAGUAGACACGACAACAGGCAGACGAGACCUAAAGCAGACGAUGACAAUCGGUUAAAGAGAGGGUGGCGGCUGGAAUGAGUUCACGAAGAAGAAAGCUAUAAAAUAUCUUGCAAACAAAAAUGAGAGUAAGGCAAGGAUAAUCAGAUGGGUACUCCUACUUCAAGAGUUCGAUUUGACAAUUAAAGAUAGGAAAGGAAUGAACAAUUGCAUACCAAUAAGGAAUUCAAUAUUUUCUCCAUGCAAGUUUUCCACCAAGCAAAUAUCAAGAAACAUCCAUGGGAGUACACUAUUCCCCUUUUCUUUCUCUUUCACUUUACUUUGCUUUUCAAAAGCUUUAAGGACAAAACAAUUUUUAAGUGGGUGUGGGUAGCAUAUUUCUUGGUACUUAGCUUGCAUGUGUAUGAAUAUGGAGUCCUUUUUUUUCUUCAAAGUUGCAUAUGUGCCUAACCCUUGAGCUGAGCUCGAGUUUGUGAAUUGUUAUAUUUUGGAUAUAUUUGUGAAUUGUUAUAUUCAGAAUAUGUUGAGAAUAAGCUAUUAUCUUUAUUUUAUUUUAUUUUACUUUUUUUUGUUUUAAGCCUCUUUUUAGCCAUACCAUAUUGAAAUAUGAAUGCUUGAACGAAAAAUUGUAUGUGUAUUGUGAUUGAAUGAUUGCAUGUAUAAUACAAUAAGAGCAUGGAUACAUUUCUAGCCUUGUCUUCUCAAUCGCAUUAUUAUAAUAUGCCUAUGAUACCUUUAGUCCAAAUCUAGCCUAGAUAGAGUUUAAAAAGGAUAGAAGCUACUCUUUAGAAGUUGAGAAGGCUUUAACAGUUUUGUCUUGUCAACAUGAGUUGGAAGCCUCUUGUCUAGCCACAACGAACUAAAUCCUUUUAGAAAAGAUUAGACAUUGAUGAAACUCUUUGUCACUUUAGAAGGAGCAGUUAAAUUUAGAAACUAAAUUUAGAACCAUAAAAAGGUAGCCCACUGGUUCUAGUAAGGCCUAGUUACCACAUUACUUACCAAAGAAAGAAAAGAGAGGCUUGCAAAAAAAAAAAAAAGGAAAAAAAUUCAAACAAAAAGUGAGGCUAUCAAGAGUUAAAAAAGUAUAGAAAAAAAAAUGCAAUAUGCAUUAGAAAAACCUCGUAAAAAAAGUGAAAAUUUGGUUAGGUCAAGUAAUUGUGUUGAGUUUCCUAACUAUUAGAACUUUUGGGGGAAAACUUCACUUUUGACCUAAGUAAAACUAGACAACCUUCUCUUAGCGUUAUAAACAUAGCAUCUAGUUUGACAAGGGCUUUGAAAAGAGGAGGAGUCCUUCCCGAUCCAUAAGUAGGGGGAAAACGAGUCUAAGGGGUCUUUCAUGUUUUUCAAAGCAUGUCUAGCAUCCGAGUAGCAAAACUUGAGCGUCUUUCUAAACCGUGCUUGUUCCGGACAAACUUAGUUAAACCCAAACCUUAACCGAUAACUUGUAAUCUCUUUGAUAAUUUGAACUAAGUUUAAGCAUAGGUUUGGAUAGACGGUUAAGCCAUUGAGUAACAUCGCUAGGUUAACUCGUUAGAAAUGCAUCAUCUAUACACUUGCAUGAACGCUUGUUUUUAUCUUAAGUUUAUGUUUGCUUCCCCUGCCUGCUGCUUGAAUGUUUGAUAUUAGAUUUAUUUUGCUCGGGACGAACAAAGCUUAAGUGGGGGUAUUUUGUUGGGGCAAUUAUUGACCCAUUUAUUUGUACACUAUUCUCAAUCCAUAAUAUACAUAUAUUAAUUAUUUUGAUAUUUUUGUGUAGAAUAUGAAAGAAGACUCUAUUAUGAACCCAACGCAUCAAAAAUCACCUAAAACAAAGUUUGAAUGAAGGAGAACGACCAAUUUGAAGUUUAGGGGUAAAUCGGUAAAUAUUCAAAAAGUUGUGACACGCGUCAGGCAUCUGCACGUGCAAGCCACACCCAGGUCAUGCAUUCAAAUCCCAAGCACUGCAUUAUUUUCCAGGAUCACUCAAAGUCAAAACGACAUCAUUUUGAUCGUCCCUUUCGCGUGGCUUAGACGUCAUGAGUUCGAAUCUCACCAGAUGCAAAAUAAACUCGAAUUAUUCAAAUCCUGCGUAGGCCACAUUCUUUAUCUACCUCUAUCCACCUCUCUCCUUGCGCCAUGAGUCACUUUCUGGUUUUGUGCACCUCUCCCACCACCCGAGUUCAAUCCUUAGCAGUUGUAAAUAAUUUUUAAAGAAUAUUUCAGUGGCAUUUUUGUAAAUAUUUAGCAAAAAUUCGAAAAAUAAUUGAUUUUUUUCAUCAAUUGGAUCGCACUGUUGGCUUUGAAGUCACGAUUUCGAGCCUCAUGAGCGGUUAUUUCCAAAUAUUUUCUAUAUAUAUAUGCAUUUCCCCCGCCCCAAAUUCAUCCUAAA